rnacentral:lncRNA from 1 species
CUUAGGCCUUGGAUGUGAGCAGUCUUCACUGAGGGCUGGGGGAAGAAAAGGAGUAGCUAUUUGUGGUAUUGAUGUCCAGUCAUUGCUGUUAAGGGAUACUCUUUAUGUCAAUAUGACAGUCCUACAAAUCCUGUCUAGCCAACAGUAGAAAGACCUGGUGGUGCUUUGGCACUGUAGUGACACAGCUAUUCUUGGCUAUAUAUAUGUGUAUAUAUUGCAUGUAGAUGUAGAUGUGCAAGAGCAUAACGUGCUUUUACACACACACACACACACACACACACAUUUGUCUAUUUGCAUCUUGCCCAAUAUGGAAUUCUGUGGUACUGCCAUGCAGGCAUUUUUUAUUUUUAUUUUUUAAUUAAUGUCUUUUUUUACAAAACAGUUUUAUUUUUAUGCAUUACAUUAUUUUGUGGCUGAUAAAUGGCUCAUCUAAUAUUCUACAAACAAAUGGAUUCUGGCUAUUAAGACUCAGUGUUUUGGUUUUCAUUUUUCCUGUAAUGUAAGUGUUAUAUUGAAAUAAAGUAUAUUAUCUGGAAUAAUUUUUUUUUGUAAGCAAAGAGGUAGGGUAUACCAUCUCAGCUAUUUUGCUUCUUGUUAUCAUAGUCUUGAAUGAUGCUGUGAGUCAGAGAUUUCAGCAGAAACUUGUCCACAUAGUAGAGCAUUUGAACCAGAUAAGAAAUUUCUGCCAUGAAUUUAGCCUUUAAGAAGCUGCACCUUUUGAGGUUUAUCAAAGUCUUGCCUUAGAUGUUUUGAAAUAGGGAUAGCAGUGCAGUUUUGGCAAGUGUUUGGGUUACAGAGCUGCUUAGAGAGAGAUCCCCUUGUGCAGGUCAACGAGCUAAUAGUCACUUAGUUACAGAAUUUCUGUCCAGAAUGUGAUCCGUCUCUUAUGUUUUUCAGGGAUAUCCAUAACUUUGAGUUCUGCUUUAUGAAGGAGGGAAGGGGCCUAACAACUCUUCUGAAAGGGUGUUGGUUCUGCUUGAGGCUGCUGUCCUACUUUGUCAAUACUUUUCUAGUCUUUGCGGGUGAUGUCACAGCAUCUUUGACAUUCAGACCCCAGUAAUCCACUAGUUAGCAGGACCUAGUAGACUUGAAUUGGGCUGGGAGAGAGCAAGAGCUGUGCUCACUAUUCAGACUAUGGGACCUGAGAAAUUUAUUGUGUGCCUUGAGAGAAACUUCCCUUCCCUCUGAAAGAAGGCUCUGCGAUGUUCUGUGGCUGACUGGUGGACACUGCUCAUCUCUUCAAAUCCAGCUCACUCAAGAACCUGAUUGUCUUACAAAGGCAGAAUGCUUUGAGAAGUGCAGCGGAUCUGGAGGUUCUCUAAAACUCAGUCUCCUUAAUCACAAGGGCUUUCUGACAGCUCUUGACCAUCAGCUACAUCCUAUAUUAGCAAAAUUAGUGUGCUGAGCUACUCGCUUUUUUGCAGAGGACCAAGUAACCCUAAUGUUUCUAAGAGCCUUCAAACCUGGUCAUGAGUUUGGGUAUUAGCUGUGCAUAGGCCCCCAUUUUGGCCUCUUUGCACAGGGGUGGUGUUCAUCCCUACUGAGCACUAAAGCCCUGUUGACCUACAGGAGGCCAUUUGAUGCAUUAGUUCUUUAUAUGAAUGGUCAGAAAAAAUAGAUCAUCUUACUUUGCUCUCAGUCUAAUGCAACACAAUAUAUUUAGAGUCACAUAGGCAGAAGGGAGAAGAUUUGCUGCUGUCAGCAUAGCCUUUGACACCAUGUAGACAAGUGUUUGCUGUGUUUAGAAGUGCAGCCUAAGGAAUAAUCUUUACCUGGCUGCUAUAGGUCUAAUAUUUUCAUUUAGUUGUAGGCUUUUCAAUGCACUUUAAUUUAGUUACAAAUGGUAGCAAAUUGCAAGUGGCAGCAUGAAUAAGUAACUCAUGAGUCAGUACUUUUGUUUUCUUCCUCUGGUCUAGACUGCUGAUAAUGUAAAUUGUCGAAACCCUGGGUAAAUAAUUGGGAGUGCAAUCAACAGCAAGCAAGCAUUUAU